rnacentral:lncRNA from 1 species
GUAAGUAUAAUGACACAUACUCUGAAAGUAUAAACUCGAUUUUUGCUGGGCGUCAGUUGAACAUUAUUUCACGUGUACGUUUCGCGCACAUAGAAACCACAUGUUCAGACCGCUAACGUUAACUUAGCAAGCAGACUGACUAAAGGAACAUAUGUUCACCAAAGGGAAGAGUGCAGACUGGCAAAAGCUAGCUCUAAUCAUUUGCUUUUCACUCCACUGUUGUAGCAUUAGUUAGCAAGCAUGGUGAUUUGUCUAGCAGUUCACAAAGAAAAUAGUUGAAUAUUUCCCUAGGUAGAUUGCCAGAUAUCUCUGAAAUGGUGCGGUCAAGUUUAGAGGUAAUCAAGAAAGUUCACAAGUUCAUUUUAACUUUGUUUCCAAAGUUGAGAGACGCGGACGGGUUCGAGCUGCUGAAAAUGUCUGGAACUACACAGAGCUGUCAUCUUAUACCUGUCCCAUGCCCCAAUCAGGGCUACAGUAUGAGAUAUCUGAAGACCCUUGUGUCGUGCUACUCUGUACAUUCGCCCGCUGUAAAGGAAUUUGAGUAUGGAGCAUGAACUGAAUGAUUCAGUUGUUGUUCAAAGUGGAACCCUGACACAAUGUCUAAACUGUGAAGAACAACUUCCCUUUGCACAAAUAAGAAGACACAGUGAAGCCUGCUCAAGUUCAUCUGGCAUUUCAGCAGCAAGUGGUCCAGUAUACACCGUUGGUGAACCAAAUCCGGUCAAGGCAGCUCAGCUGUUCACAUACUGGACACUUCAGUCCCACGAGGACAAAGACCUCCUGAGCUUGAGGGAUUCCUUAGUGGAAAGGAACAGGACCAUAAUCCUUUUCUCAACAAUUGCAUCCAAUGUCUUGGUUUGCUGAGCUUGUGUAACUCUACAUUGAAUGAUUUCAAAUAUGUUUACAAGGUGACUCUGCCAUUGGAGAGGGGGUCACUAGGUAUGUCCUGUCCACUGUUAUGGAAAAUCUUCAAAAUGGAUUCCUACUUGAUGAAGAGAAAGGUUCAUCAGAGGCCCUGAAGAGUUUGUCCGAGGUCCUGAAGAGUGCUUUUUUUAACCUGAAGCUGUCGAAAAAUACUAUGACUUAUGAGGAUUUUGAAAAAGAUCAGAUGGCAAGCAUCUCCUCAUCCUACUCUGGGUUUGGUCUGUUUUGAUUCAAAGCCCUGCAGGAAGACACAAUUCUUCACAUCAGCUCAAAAGUUUUAUAGAGCUUUUUACUUUGUUAUUUGAUAUACUUUACACUAGGUAUAGAGUUUAGUAAACAGUGAUACAGACACUUUGAUAAAGUGGCUUACAUUUUACAUUCUACAUUCUAACGGUAAUGGUUAACCAAAAAAAUCAAAGCUGUACAAUUUGAAAGAUUAGAGAGAGCUAGAUUAAAGGUAUUGCUCACUACCUCGUCAAUUCCCAAUGGCCUUGCAGGCAGAUGCAUUCUAGAUCCUAUUGGAGGAGGAACCUGAAGCUGGGGCCAGUUCAAAGGCCUACCCUCCAUAUCUACUCCCAUUAUCCCUAUUUAAAAGUCCUGUCAAUGCUAAUUGUGACUAACAACGCCUCUUUAUAAACAAUUUUACUUUUGAAGCCAGG